ACUCAAAGGAAUUGACGGGGGCCCGCACAAGCGGUGGAGCAUGUGGUUCAAUUCGACGCAACGCGAAGAACCUUACCUGGGCUCGAAGCGCAGUGGAAGUCGGCUGAAAGGCCGCUGCCCGCAAGGGCCGCUGCGGAGGUGCUGCAUGGCUGUCGUCAGCUCGUGUCGUGAGAUGUUGGGUUAAGUCCCGCAACGAGCGCAACCCUUAUCCUUAGUUGCCAUGCCGUAAGGCGGCACUCGAAGGAGACUGUCGGCCACAAGCCGGAGGAAGGUGGGGAUGACGUCAAGUCCUCAUGGCCUUUAUGUCCAGGGCUACACACGUGCUACAAUGGGCGGCACAAAGCGUCGCGAACCCGCGAGGGGGAGCCAAUCGCAAAAAACCGCUCUCAGUUCGGAUUGCAGUCUGCAACUCGACUGCAUGAAGCUGGAAUCGCUAGUAAUCGCGGAUCAGAACGCCGCGGUGAAUACGUUCCCGGGCCUUGUACACACCGCCCGU
rnacentral:rRNA from 1 species